AUGCAAGAUCAGGUCGGCCUGGACCUGGACGGCUUCCCGCUCGACCACAAGUUUCUGGAGGACUACGGCCUGGAGGAAGAGGAUGAGUUGGACAUCGACGGGGAGCCUUUGUUCGAGGACGAGCUCGCCAACCAAGCCGCCAGGGCGAAGCCGAAGCGCAAGAGCAGGCGGACGAAGGCAUACACGGCGCCCGAGGACAAACUUCUUUGUGAGUGUUGGAGGGACAUUGGGCAAGACCCCAAGACAGGUGCAGAACAAAAGGCAUCAACCUUUUGGACUCGUGUCCAUCGCGAAUUCCAUGAACGCAAGAAGUUUCCGCCAUACCAAAUGCAAAGCACGCGCGGGUGGGUAUCCAUUUCGAAGCGA
rnacentral:rRNA from 1 species